GUCUGGGGGAUUAGGACUGCAAUUCUUGACAUUUCUAGUCAGUUUGAUCUUUUGGUAGGCUAGGAAAUUGGAAUUUCUUGAUUAGGGAAUACUAUUUUAAAAACCAUUACUGUAUUGCGUGAUGCCCUUUCAAAGACUUCUUUCUCUCACUACUCAUGUCCUCCUUGCCUGUUAAAUAUUUCAUCAUGUUAGAAAAGAAAUGCCACUUUUUUACUACUUUGAAUUUGGUAUUUCUCAGGUCCAAACUAGUGCGGAAGGUAGAAUUUGUGAGCUUCCAGGAGUUACCAAGAACAUCUGUUGGAGUCAAUCAUUUAUUCAGCCACAUGUGACCCCCCUAGCUUGUCCAGCUGGAAAACAGGACUACUGGAGAAGGAAAGUCUGUAAAUUGUCUUACGUAGAAUAGCUGAAGACUUGGAGAAGUUUACUCUGGAAAAUGAUCCAGUUUUUUUUUUAAAAAAAGACACGUAGCAGUUUUGCAGAACUUGUUUUUGAAGUGCCUCCGAAAAGCAGGAUUUGAAAUGACAGCAUGGAAACUGCAAGGAAGCCGUUAAUGACUAAACAUUUGGAUGAAAACUCUUCAAGUGUCAUUCCCACAUAUUGGACUUGCUGAAUAUUCCUUGAGUAGAAUCAUCAUCAUCAUCAUCAUCAUCAUCAUCAUCAUCAUCAUCAUCAUCAUCAUCAGUUCCUUUCACACGAAGCACAUAGGGCAGCAUCCAAUGCUUCCAAUGAAUCCUACCUUCAGCAGUGUCUUCAGCAUCUUUCUGUUUGACAUCCUGUCAGGUUUCGAGGUCGUCUCAAAUAAAUUGCAUUUCAAACAAA